rnacentral:rRNA from 1 species
ACUGGGCGUAAGCGCGCGGCUAGGCGGACUUUGGUAACUCCCGAUGUGAAAUCCCGGGGCUCAACCUCGGAACUGCCUUUGAUACUGCCAAGCUUGAGUGCGAGAGAGGUGGGUGGAAUUCCCGGUGUAGAGGUGAAAUGCGUAGAUAUUGGGAGGAACACCGAUGGCGAAGGCAGCCCCCUGGAUCGGUACUGACGCUGAGGCGCGAAAGCGUGGGGAGCAAACCGGAUUAGAUACCCUGGUAGUCCACGCCCUAAACGAUGCGAGCUAGGUGUCUGGAUUUCUUGCUCUUCGGAGGCCAACGCUAACGAGAUUAAACUUCUGCGCCUGGGCGAGUCCCGGCCGCU